UACGUAGGGUGCAAGCGUUAAUCGGAAUUACUGGGCGUAAAGCGUGCGCAGGCGGUUUUGUAAGUCUGUCGUGAAAUCCCCGGGCUUAACCUGGGAACUGCGUUUUGUAACUGGCAAGCUAGAGUGUGGCAGAGGGGGGUGGAAUUCCACGUGUAGCAGUGAAAUGCGUAGAGAUGUGGAGGAACACCGAUGGCGAAGGCAGCCCCCUGGGGCUAACACUGACGCUCAUGCACGAAAGCGUGGGGAGCAAACAGG
rnacentral:rRNA from 1 species